AGAAACUCCACCUUUGUGAUGACAUGGCUAAUCAAUAAUGAUGUGUAUAAAUAACUCAUUUAUCAAAAGAAAUAUUAAUUAAUGUGAAAAAAAAUAUAUUAUUUCUCUCUACUGAUACUUCAUUAAAAUUAAAUUCAAAAGUAAAUGAUACUUCAUUAAAAUUAAAUUCGUAUUCAACCAGGAAAGAAAGAAGACGCAAAAACAGAGAAGCAAUCAUCUGUUCUUUGAGGUGCCAUUUUUAUUCUUCGAAGAAUCCCGAUGCACCUUAUAAUUCAUCGGUAAGAGCUCAUCUAUUUAUCAAUAUUUUCUUUUAAAUUUUCCUGCAAAGUCUUCGUUGUCAUGAAUAGAAACCCUAUACAUCCUUUCUACAAUAGUUCUUUAUUCACUCUAUCUAUGAUAUAUGAGAAUUUGGGUUAUUAGCCAUGAGGCAGUUCAAUGGUAGUCGCAGAAUUCGUGGAUUCAUCAGCGAAUUAUGUACCCUGGUCAUAGUUUUCUUGUUUUACAACCGGGGAGAUAUUACGAGGAACCCAGUGCUUAGGCAAUCAAACCUAAUUUCGGGCAGCGGGUUUUGUGGUGGGUCAAAUCAUAGGUCAGUAAUUCACCAUCAUCUACAUCCACUAGUACAACCACUACCCAAUUCAUAAUAAGCCGAAUUUUCGCUUACCUGUGCAGCCCAAAAAGACUCAUGGCUAGAGGCGGAGAAUAGAUCUAUAUGACCUAGAACUAUCAUCGAGGCUAGAGAGUAGCAAAGAAUGAUGAUGAUUCAGAUCUAUGACUAGCGCUAGAGAGAGGCGAAGAAGAGAUGGCCAAGAUCUACAAAUGAUUUUGGGUUUAUGGAUAGUUUUGUUUUUGAAAAUUUAAUGUAUAUAGAUGAUUUUGUUUGGUGAUAUUUUAUUUGGGGAGAAGAUGAUGAACAAUGGGUUGUGAUUUAUUUUGAUAUUAUCUUUAAUUUAUUAUAUUAUUGAAUAGAAAUUAUUGGAAUGUUUGGGUCGGG
rnacentral:lncRNA from 1 species